rnacentral:rRNA from 1 species
UACAGAGGUCCCAAGCGUUGUUCGGAUUUACUGGGCGUAAAGGGUGCGUAGGUGGCGAGGUAAGUUCGAUGUGAAAUCUCCGAGCUCAACUCGGAAAUGGCAUUGAAUACUAUCCCGCUUGAGGGUCGGAGGGGAGACUGGAAUUCUCGGUGUAGCAGUGAAAUGCGUAGAUAUCGAGAGGAACACCAGUGGCGAAGGCGAGUCUCUGGACGACUCCUGACACUGAGGCACGAAGGCCAGGGGAGCAAACGGG